rfam:Gossypium raimondii chromosome 5, whole genome shotgun sequence.
AAUUCGUGAUGUGGGAACUUCCUUAACAUUGUCUUGAAACCUUCCCACUCCUCAUACAGGGAUUCAUCUUAAUAUUGUUUAAAAUAUGUUAUUUCUCCCCCGAGCU